rnacentral:lncRNA from 1 species
UAUAUGGAUUCUGAGUACUUUUAUAUGAAAAAAAUUGCAAAAAAGGCUACCUCCGGUUUUCUCAAGGUCACUUCCGGUAGUCAUUUUUCAAGGUAAUUUGUCACCUAACCUUUUUUACAAGGUCAAAUGACUUUAUAAUGAACUUAGUUGAAGUUAUAAUCAAAUAACCUCAUAUCAAGACAUUUCAGGGGCACCAACUCCUAUAAGAUGCCAUUAAAUUGUAUCAGACUAAAUGUAGCAUAUCUUCUUUACAAUAAAGCAGACAUUUUGCACUUGUUCUUUUAUAUGUAUCUUUCAAAGUGUCGGAGAAAAUGCAAAAACAAGCAAAAGUCACAAUUGAGAACUUGACCUUGACCUUUGACCUUGACCUCCUUUUCUAAGUUAGGACCUAGGGAUUUCAAAUAAAAACAUUCUAGGGUUAUACGGU